AGUGGACCUUGCUGUUGGAGUGGUGCUCCUGCAGGAAAGAUGGUUUGAAUCAGUGGGUGCUGUUUUUUGCCCUGAUGAUGCUGAGAAAACACAGACAGGACCAAAAAACCUAACUGGCAUCUCCUGAAAACACUGCUGUAAUUCCUGCCAUGGCCCAUCAGCUCAUUCCAGCGGGUGGAAGAAGGUUUCCUCUGAGAUGAAAGCUUGUUUUGACAGCUGCUCAGGUGGCAAACUGGGAUCCUGCCUGCUCUCUGGAAUUAUUUCAAUAUGUGCACUUACACCUUGGCUGAAAAUCCAAACAGGCUCAACUGUGAAGCAUGGCAGACCCUGCUGAUAGGCACCAUGACAUCCUGCAGCCCUACUGCAGCUUUACAAGGUCUCCCUAUACCGUUUCCACUGCAGUUCACCAGCACUACUUGGAUCUGAGCAGGCAAGCAUCAACCUGAGCAUCAACCCAAGCAUCAACCCUUCUUACAGCAUCCUGAAGUCCAGGUUAACUAGCAUAUCACUCAGUCUGAAGCUCAGCAUGGAGUCACCAUUCCUCUGCAGCUCCAUGCAAAGCUGAGUCCCUGCCUUAAGUAUUCACCAGCACUGACAGAGGUUGUCCCUGUGUCCCGACCAGUGACUGCUGUCCUCAUCCCCAUGUGUGUUGCUGGGCACGGCUUGCAUCCAACCCUGGCCAUGUAGGAAGUGUGAAAUCCAGCAUCACAUCCAGAGGGGCUGAGCCAGGUGUAGGCUUUAUAGAUACUAGGAUUGCUGCAAAGACAGGGGCACAGGGCUGGGAAGGAGGACUUGUGGUGAUGUUCAAGCUUGGAGACAGUGUCUCAGGAUGCAAGGGUAUUUACCUUAUUACCUUAUAUCGAGGAGUUGUGGACUCGAAUGAGGGUGGAAAGGCCUUGCAGAGGGAUCUGGAUAGGUUGGAGAGCUGGGCGAUUGCCAACCGCAUGAAGUUCAA